rnacentral:piRNA from 1 species
UAUAUGUUGAGCCUCCAGCUGUUCUUGCACC